GUGCCUGUGGCUCAAAGGAGUAGGGCACUGGCUCCAUAUGCCAGAGGUGGCAGGUUCAAACCCAGCCCUGGCCA
rnacentral:tRNA from 1 species